CCUACGGGUGGCUGCAGUGGGGGAUAUUGCACAAUGGGGGAAACCCUGAUGCAGCGACGCCGCGUGGGGGAAGAAGCGCCUCGGCGCGUAAAGCCCUGUCAGCAGGGAAGAAAAGGACGGUACCUGAAGAAGAAGCCCCGGCUAAAUACGUGCAGGCAGCCGCGGGAAUACGUAGGGGGCAAGCGUUAUCCGGAGUUACUGGGUGUAAAGGGGGCGCAGACGGCGAUGCAAGUGAGGAGUGAAAGUCCGGGGCCCAACCCCGGGACUGCUCUUGGAACUGCGUGGCUAGAGUGCAGGAGGGGCAGGCGGAAUGCCUGGUGUAGCGGUGAAAUGCGUAGAUAUCAGGAGGAACACCGGUGGCGAAGGCGGCCUGCUGGACUGCAACUGACGUUGAGGCCCGAAAGCGUGGGGAGCAAACAGGAUUAGAUACCCUAGUAGUC
rnacentral:rRNA from 1 species